GAUUUUUUUAACGGCCGCAGUACCCUGACUGUGCAAAGGUAGCAUAAUCAUUUGCCUUUUAAUUGGAGGCUGGAAUGAAUGGAGUUAUGAAAGAAAAACUGUCUCUUAUAUAUACAUAUAAAUUGAACUUUAGGUGAAGAUGCCUAUAUAUUUUUAAAAGACAAAAAGACCCUAUUGAGCUUUAUUUAUUACUUAUUUAUAAAGAUACAAUACAUUUUAAUAUAUAUUUUAAAUUUUGUUGGGGCGACAAAGGAACAUACAAAGCUUCCUUAUUAUUAAAGAAAACAAUUCUUAUAAAUGAUCCUUAAAGCUUAAGAAACAAGCUACCAUAGGGAUAACAGGCUAAUCAUUUUUUAGAGUUCAUAUUGACAAAAUGGGUUGGCACCUCGAUGUUGGCUUAGGGUAACUUUUAAGUGCAGCAGCUUAAAAAAGUUGGUUUGUUCAACCAUUAAAUCCCUACGUGAUCUGAGUCAGACCGGA
rnacentral:rRNA from 1 species